rnacentral:rRNA from 1 species
AACGAACGCUGGCGGCGUGCUUAACACAUGCAAGUCGUACGAGAAAUCCCGGGCAACUGGGAGAGUAAAGUGGCGCACGGGUGAGUAACGCGUGGGUAACCUGCCCUUGGACUUGGGAUAACUUCGCGAAAGCGGGGUUAAUACCGAAUGAUAUUCCGAUCUCUAAGGGGGUUGGAAUCAAAGGUGGCCUCUGCAUGCAAGCUACUGUCUAAGGAUGGGCCCGCGUACCAUUAGCUAGUUGGCAGGGUAACGGCCUACCAAGGCAACGAUGGUUAGCUGGUCUUAGAGGAUGGCCAGCCACACUGGAACUGAGACACGGUCCAGACUCCUACGGGAGGCUG